GGAUGUGAGGGCAAUCUGGCUGUGAUAUCUGUCACCUCAUGGAUCACCAGGGUUGACUCUGCUGAUCUGGCUGGCUAGGAGGGUGUCCCCUUCCUCCAUAACUACUCCAUGUGUGUCCCUCCCAAAGCUGCAUGCUAGAUCAAAGAGGGCGACCUUCCUGGAAUACAGGAGGACGGGUCCUGGGUUAGGGGCAUAGGAGUAGCUGUGCUCCCCUGCUGAACCCUCUAAACAAGCUCUCACAAAGCCAAAAUGAGCCGGGACUCUAUCAUACCCACCCAAAUAAAUCCUAACUGACUGAACAAGUUCAGUUA
ensembl:misc_RNA 7SK 7SK RNA